CCCCGGAGCGCCGCCCCGCCCGCACCGGGGGGGGCCGGGAGGGAGCCCCGUGUGCCCGCAGUGACCUCCCCGCCGGCUUUGUGCCGAUCCUUCAGUGACAGGGCACGGCUCGGUCCCCGUGGCCGCGCUCCGAGCCCGCGCUGGGGGCGGCCCGGGGGCUGCGGCCGCCCGGGAGCUCCGCGGAGCCGCCCGCCUGCCGCGGGCGGGGGCGCCGGCCCGGCCGGGAAGAGGAUCCCGGCUCCUCGUUGCGGGAAUUUACACGGAUAUGAAACACGAUGACAGGAUUCCUCGGCGUCCCUCGGAGGAGCCGAGCUGGAGCCGGGCUGGAGCCCCUCUCCGGGCAGCGGCCGCACGGACCCCCCGCUCUCCCGAGCCACCCCGAGCGGGGCGCAGCCGGUGCCGGGGCUCGGGCCGGUCCGUGCCUGCCCAACCGGCUGUCCGGGGCACGGAAGGAGUGUCCCGGUCCAGCUCUCCAUCGCUCCGCGCUCCCCGGUGCGGCGGAUGAUUCCCAGCACCUUGGCACCCGCAGCCUCUCCGUGCAGCCGGGCCGCGCUUCCCACCGGAGCCUGCGGGCGGCCCGGGACAGGGCACGGAGCGACAUGCGGGGGUGCGGGGUGGCAGUGCAGGGGUGCGGGGUUCGGGGAGUGCAGGGUUAGGGGGGAGCAGGGUGUGGGGCGCAGGAUUCCGGGAGUUCGGGGUUCGGUUCGGUUCGGUUCGGUUCGGUUCGGGUGCGAGGGAGCCCCGAGCCCCGCGGGCAGCGCCCGCCGCAACCCCAUUGUCAGAGCGGCACCUGGCGGGCACGGCCGGAACUGCAGGCGCGGGCAGAGGAGAGGGGAGAGGGGAAAAAGGGAAAAAGGGGAAAGGAGAGAGGGGAAAAGGGGGAGAGGGCAAAGCGGGCAGCAGCGGGCAGCCCUCAGCACCUCCAGGGCAUUUGGGCCGGUGGGAGCAGCUGCUCCGAGGCUUUUGCAGCCUCCAAUGUAAUAAAGGCUCCCAGCCCUGGAGCGCACCCAGCACCAGGGACAGGGGAUGGGCCAGAGUCUACAGGGGUGAGUAGGGGGCAGCAGGUGUUGAUGAGAGCAAAUUCAAGGCUUGGAGCAGGUCCUCUUUGGGUGGGGAAACCCCCCAGCAGAGCGAAGUGCCAUUGGAAGGCAGCAGAAAGGCCGUGCCCGCUCCCCUCGUCAGCAGCAGGGAACAUCACCCACCCAGCUGUGGGCACUGCCAGAGCUGCGCUCGCUCCGGUGCCACGAACAGGGGGCGACAGGGACAGGGGAGCCACAGCCAGAGCUUCGGGAAUCUGGGACAGCUGCCCUGCCCACAGGGACAGUGACCAACAGCCAGAGCUUUGAGAAUCUCAGAGCUGCCCUGCCCACACACCACAGGCUCCUCCAGCAAACACAUCCACAGCUUUUUAUGCUUCAUUUUUCUGAUUUUUUUUUCUUCAUUUCUGAUGUGGAAGCUGGUGAUGAUCAGUAUAAUUCAACCUCAGUGUUUAACACAGCACACUGCUAUGAGACAGGUCAAGGAUGAGCAAACUGUUUUCUUGGGGCUCAGGAAAAGUGGAGAAUGGCAAACUUUCCUGAGAAAAUAAUCAAUGACUUUCUUUGACUCUGUUCAUUCCUAAAAAUGUUGUGACCUAGAUGCAUUUGAAGCAUACAUAAAAUAACAUUCCUGUGCAGAUUACAGGAGGUAGUUUGGCUUGUUUGGCAAAGUUUCUCAAGCUUUUUCAUAAUUUUUAAAAUGCUGUGGACUUUAAAUCAUCCUUUCAACCACAAUGUCUUUUGAGUGGUCUGUAGUAACUAAUCCUUACCUACCAUUACAGGGUCUGCAUAUCCAGCUCCCUUUUUUACACUGUGUCUUCAUAUUUAUUACUUCUAAUAAAUAGAUUCUAAUAUCUGCAUAAUAAAAAUCAA